rnacentral:rRNA from 1 species
AGUGAACGCUGGCGAUAGGCCUAACACAUGCAAGUCGAACGGCAGCACAGUAAGAGCUUGCUCUUACGGGUGGCGAGUGGCGGACGGGUGAGGAAUACAUCGGAAUCUACUUUUUCGUGGGGGAUAACGUAGGGAAACUUACGCUAAUACCGCAUACGACCUACGGGUGAAAGCAGGGGAUCUUCGGACCUUGCGCGAUUGAAUGAGCCGAUGUCGGAUUAGCUAGUUGGCGGGGUAAAGGCCCACCAAGGCGACGAUCCGUAGCUGGUCUGAGAGGAUGAUCAGCCACACUGGAACUGAGACACGGUCCAGACUCCUACGGGAGGCAGCAGUGGGGAAUAUUGGACAAUGGGCGCAAGCCUGAUCCAGCCAUACCGCGUGGGUGAAGAAGGCCUUCGGGUUGUAAAGCCCUUUUGUUGGGAAAGAAAAGCAGCAGGUUAAUACCCCGCUGUUCUGACGGUACCCAAAGAAUAAGCACCGGCCAACUUCGUG